GCCUACGGCCAUACCACCCUGAAAGCGCCCGAUCUCGUCUGAUCUCGGAAGCUAAGCAGGGAUGGGCUUGGUUAGUACCUGGAUGGGAGACCGCCUGGGAAUACCAGGUGUUGUAGGCU
rnacentral:rRNA from 1 species